AGAGUUUGAUCCUGGCUCAGAUUGAACGCUGGUGGUAUGCUUAACACAUGCAAGUCGAACGGUAGCAGGUACUUCGGUAUGCUGACGAGUGGCGGACGGGUGAGUAACGCGUAGGAAUCUACCUAUCUGUGGGGGAUACCAGUUGGAAACGACUGUUAAUACCGCAUAAUAUCUGAGGAUUAAAGGUGGCAACUUGUUGCUGCCGCGGAUGGAUGAGCCUGCGUUAGAUUAGCUUGUUGGUGGGGUAAAGGCCUACCAAGGCUGCGAUCUAUAGCUGAUUUGAGAGGAUGAUCAGCCACAUUGGAACUGAGACACGGUCCAAACUCCUACGGGAGGCAGCAGUGGGGAAUAUUGGACAAUGGGGGAAACCCUGAUCCAGCAAUACCAUGUGUGUGAAGAAGGCUCUAGGGUCGUAAAGCACUUUAGUCAGGGAGGAAGGCCUUGUCGUUAAUAGCGGCAGGGAUUGACGUUACCUGAAGAAUAAGCACCGGCUAACUCCGUGCCAGCAGCCGCGGUAAUACGGGGGGUGCAAGCGUUAAUCGGAAUUACUGGGCGUAAAGGGUUCGUAGGCGGUUUAUUAAGUCAGAUGUGAAAGCCCAGGGCUCAACCUUGGAACUGCAUUUGAUACUGGUAGACUAGAGUAUAGUAGAGGAGUGGGGAAUUUCUGGUGUAGCGGUGAAAUGCGUAGAGAUCAGAAGGAACACCAAUGGCGAAGGCAACACUCUGGACUAAUACUGACGCUGAGGGACGAAAGCGUGGGGAUCAAACAGGAUUAGAUACCCUGGUAGUCCACGCUGUAAACGAUGAGUACUAGCUGUUGGAUUCGGUGUAAAGGAUCUAGUGGCGUAGCUAACGCGGUAAGUACUCCGCCUGGGGACUACGGUCGCAAGACUAAAACUCAAAGGAAUUGACGGGGACCCGCACAAGCGGUGGAGCAUGU
rnacentral:rRNA from 1 species